CUGCCGCACCGCACUCGCAGCCAAUGGCGUGAGAGCAUGCAAAUCGUCGUUGAGCCAACGCUUCCUUUGGCUCUGGUGUAUGCAAAUAGACGUCAUUGCCCGGGUGGGGGUGGCCUGGCCCGGGUAGAAGGUGGGUGGGGGUGUGUGGAAACUUGUAGCGCGGCUGGUUUGGAGACUUGGCAUCUAAAUCUGUUCCAGCCAGUCCCGAGGGGCACGGAGUGCGACUAAAGGAAGGGAGAAAGAAAAGAGAGAUAGCGAGGUUCAAAAAGCUGAACCACGCUUCCCAGAAUGCUCAGGUCAAACCCCAGUGAGAAGAUGCCACGAAGAAGGAAACAGCCAACUCAGGAGUCCUGGGAUAUCUGAAAUCGAUAAGAAGGAUAGAGGUGAGUAUAGAGGUUUGCAGAAGUACCUCAGGAAACUGGGGUGGGGGGGAGAUGAAGGGCAGAAAAUGCCCAUGAUCUGCUAUAUGCAAACAGGAGGCCCAGGGAAGGUCGACUUGCAUCUCAAUGUGAGUCUGAAGGACCAGGAACCCCAUAUGGAGUGAAUGCUCAGUUCAAGAUGAGAGUGAACUCCAGUUCCCCUCAGGCUUUUGCUCUGUCCAGGCUCUUUGUGGAUCAAUGGGACAUUUAACUGCAGGUUGUUAUUUAGAGAGAGAUACAACGUGUCCUUCUAUGGAAACAGUGUUUUGCUUUUGCUUUUGAAACAAAAUAUCACUAUGUACCCUGCCUGACCUGGAACUCACUCUGUAGACCAGGCUAGCCUGGGAUUCACAGAGAUCUAUCUCCCUCUGCUCCUGGGUGCUAGGAUUAAAGGUGUACACUACUAUGUCCAGCAUGAAUCAUCUUUUUUUUUUUUUUUUUGGAGCUGGGGACCGAACCCAGGGCCUUGUGCUUCCUAGGUAAGCGCUCUACCACUGAGCUAAAUCCCCACCCCCAUGAAUCAUCUUUUAAACAGAGGGGGAAGAUUCCAAACUGAAGAAACAGUACCUGGGAAAGACAGAACUGGGCCAGAGCAUGGCUCCUUAAAGCAACAGAAUAAGAUACAGGCUUCGAGGGCCUAGAGAGAUGGCUCAGUGGUUAAGAGAACUGACUGCUCUUCCAGAGGUCCUGAGUUCAAACCCAAGCUUGUGACUUACAACCAUCUGUAAUGAGAUCUGAUGCCCUUUUCUGAUGCAUCUGAAGACAGCUGUGGUGUACAUAUAUAGAGUAAGUUAAAGAGAGAGAGAGAGAGAGAGAGAGAGAGAGAGAGAACUGUGACCCCAAGAAGCUGUCACAUGCUAAGAAGAAACAAGGCAGGGUUCACAUUCGGGGCUCUGUGGCCUCACAGGCACACCGAGGCCAGCACACUGUGGCCACAGGGUUCACAUGCUGCCCCUGUGGCCUCGCAGGCACAUUGUGGCUGCUGUUGCCUCCCAGAGAGGAAGCUGAAGUGGUUUUUUUCUGACUUCCAUGUCUUACUACAGAGAUGGGGCCAGAAAAUAAAUAAUUGUAAUUUUUGCUUAAUAGAUUUCAACAUGUUAUAAAAAGCAAGACCUUGGACUGGAGAGAUGGCUUAGGGGUUAAGAGCAUGGACUGCUCUUCCAGAGGUCCUGAGUUCAAUUUCCAGCAACCACAUGGUGGCUCACAUCCAUUUGUAAUGGGAUCUGAUGUCCUCUUCUGGUGUGUCUGAAGACAGUGACAGUGUGCUCACAUAUAUAAAAUAAAAAAUAAAAAAAAAAAAGCAAGACCUAUGGCUGGCUGGAGAGAUGGCUCAGUCAUAAGAGUGGGCUAUUCUUCCAGAGGACCCAGGUUCAACUCCUAGUGCCUACAUAGCAGCUCACAACUGUGUACACAUCCAAACCCAAGGGAUUUGACAGCCUCUCCUUGCCUCUGCAUAAGUUGCAUGCACACACAUUCAGGCUGUCUUGGGGUUUCUAUUGCUGUGACAAAACACUGUGAACAAAAGCCACUUGAGGAGGAACCCGGAGGGAAGACCUGAUGCAGAGACCAUGAAGAAGUUCUGCUUACUGGCUGCUCCUUACAGCUUGCUUGGCAUGCUUUUUUUUUUUUUUAUAACACCCAGGACCACCAGCCCAAGGAUGGUCACAAAACACUGGCCUCCCAAAUCAGUCACUAAUUAAGGACAUUGGCCACAAGCUUGACUAUAGACCAAUCUGGUGGGGGUCUUUUCUCAGUUGAGGUUUCUUCUUCCAAAAUGACUCUAGCCUGUGCCAGAUUGACAUAAAAACUAGCCACCACCUCAGGCAAAACUCUCUCUCUCUCUCUCUCUCUCUCUCUCUCUCUCUCUCUCUCUCUCACA